UGAUGGACUCCACCGCCCUCCUCACGUACGGUUGCCAAAUCCACCCCCGACCCACCUCUCUCUCGCGCUCCCAGACCCGCGUCCUCUCUCCGUCCGCGGUCCGCCCGAAAUUUUCUCCGACGGCGGCGCCUCCGCCCACGAUCUCGCGCAUCCCUCCCCCUCUCGCCCUCCCAGGACCGCACCUCACCGCCGCCGCCGCUCGCGAUAAGCCGUCGCUGCCGAUUCCUCCCGAUCCCUCAGCCCACCGCCGCCACCCGAUCCCUCAACCCACCGCCGCCAGUGAGCCGUGCGCACCUUCUUCUCCGGCCGAGGCGUGCAGUCGCGCCGCCGUCCCUCCGCCUUGCUGAUCUCCUCCGGCAACGCGCGGCCGCCUCAAGCACCACCCGCCGUCUCUCCGAAUCGCACUCACGCGGUCCCUUUGUCGUUGGAAGAAUGCUUAGUUGUCUGGGACAACAAGCUAAAUUGGAUAAGGCAGGGACAUCAAUUUCCACCUCGCCGAUCUUGCGGCGCCGUUGAUACCGUAGAACGUCUAUUUCACCUGCGCUGCCCAUGUUGUCAUCCACGACCACACUGCAUCUCCGUCCUCGACCUCCGCCUGUCACUGACGACCAUCCAGGAAAGUCUCCCUCGCAGCGAAUUUAUGUUUACCAGUUACAUGUUUCAGUUUAUAACUACAAGUACUAAAUGAUGCUGUUCUAGACAAUUUAUGUUUCAGUAUGUUGUACUUCAAUACGUUUUUCUGAAAAUGUCAAGUAGGAAACAUUCCUUCCCUCAGAAAUCACAGAGAAUUUGUUCGAAAGUGACUGAAAGAGAGAGUUGAAAAUAAGAAUGAAUCUAUUCUUGCUGAUUAUUAUUUUACAUUGGCCACAUGUAUGUCAAAAGGGGAAGUAUGGGAUCAGAUAAUUCAACAUGUAUAUAUUUACAGUAUUUUCACUGUUACACUGUACUCCAUUAUUUUUGUUUAUCUGGUGAUUGAUUAUCAACAUUGUUGUUGAGAACUACAGAAGGGGAACAAAGGUUUGUCUUUUCUUUUCUUUCUUGAGAGCAGUUUAAUUCCAGCAGGGGCUCUAGAAGUUUGCAGCUCGAUCUCGUCUGCAGCCCAUCAGGUUCUAAUUCAUGAGUUUUAGAUUUGUUUAGUGGAGUAUAAAACUUCAUUUCUUCAGGCAAAAUGAUCAAAAUAGCCGCAUUGUCUUGCUGGUGUACUUAGAUAGUUCGAUGCACUUCCUGGAACUCUGUAAAAGGGAAACAUGUCGUACCAGUACAUGAUUGUUUUUGUUUAUUUCACAACUAUUUAAAGAAAGUUGGUGGAUUUUCUUCUGUA